rnacentral:misc_RNA from 1 species
UUAACUUAUUUUUUUUUGGUUUUCAGAAGGACACUAAACAGUAAGAGUUUUAAAAGUGGUCUUCGGCAGGCGGACGCGAGCCCGCCCUGGGGCCGCCCGCCGAAGCAACUUGACAGGAAAUAAUGACAAAGGGUUGGAGUUUUUACACUCAGUAAUGAUCCCUCCGCUGGUUCACCAACGGAGA